rnacentral:lncRNA from 1 species
CAUGAGAGUUCUUCACUGGCCAGCACUCUGCCCCAUACAACAUGGCAGGUCUAACCACACCUCUAUAAAAUUUCCCCUUGAGUUUCUGUGGAACUUUCUUGUCACACAGGACUCCUGAUGCAACCCUCCACUUUGACCACCCCGCUCCUAUGCGAUGAGUGACGUCCCCGUCAAUCUCUCCGUCCCCCUGAAUCACCGACCNNNN